rnacentral:rRNA from 1 species
CCUACGGGGGGCAGCAGUGAGGAAUAUUGGUCAAUGGACGAGAGUCUGAACCAGCCAAGUAGCGUGAAGGAUGACUGCCCUAUGGGUUGUAAACUUCUUUUAUAAAGGAAUAAAACGAGGCACGUGUGCCUUUUUGCAUGUACUUUAUGAAUAAGGAUCGGCUAACUCCGUGCCAGCAGCCGCGGUAAUACGGAGGAUCCGAGCGUUAUCCGGAUUUAUUGGGUUUAAAGGGAGCGUAGAUGGGUUGUUAAGUCAGUUGUGAAAGUUUGCGGCUCAACCGUAAAAUUGCAAUUGAUACUGGCAGUCUUGAGUACAGUUGAGGUAAGCGGAAUUCGUGGUGUAGCGGUGAAAUGCUUAGAUAUCACGAAGAACCCCGAUUGCGAAGGCAGCUUACUAAACUGUGACUGACAUUGAUGCUCGAAAGUGUGGGUAUCGAACAGGAUUAGAUACCCGUGUAGUC